rnacentral:rRNA from 1 species
AUUAGUGGCGGACGGGUGAGUAACAUUUAGGAAUCUGCCUAGUAGUGGGGGACAACAUGUGGAAACGCAUGCUAAUACCGCAUACGCCCUAAGGGGGAAAGGAGGGGACUUUUCGGAGCCUUCCGCUAUUAGAUGAGCCUGCGUAAGAUUAGCUAGUUGGUAGGGUAAAGGCCUACCAAGGCGACGAUCUGUAGCGGGUCUGAGAGGAUGAUCCGCCACACUGGGACUGAGACACGGCCCAGACUCCUACGGGAGGCAGCAGUGGGGAAU